CCUACGGGAGGCAGCAGUGAGGAAUAUUGGUCAAUGGACACAAGUCUGAACCAGCCAUGCCGCGUGCAGGAUGACGGCUCUAUGAGUUGUAAACUGCUUUUGUACGAGGGUAAACCCCGAUACGUGUAGCGGGGUGAAAGUAGCGUACGAAUAAGGAACGGCUAACUCCGUGCCAGCAGCCGCGGUAAUACGGAGGAUCCGAGCGUUAUCCGGAUUUAUGGGGGGUAAAGGGUGCGUAGGCGGUUUGAUAAGUUGGAGGUUCAAUGUCGGGGCUACACCCCGAAACUGCCUCUAAUACUGUUGGACGAGUGAAUAGUUGCGUUAGGCGGCAUGUAUGGUGUAGCGGUGAAAUGCUUAGAGAUCAUACAGAACACCGAUUGCGAAGGCAGCUUACCAAACUAUAUCUGACGUUGCGGCACGAAAGCGUGGGUAGCAAACAGGAUUAGAUACCCCAGUAGUC
rnacentral:rRNA from 1 species